rnacentral:rRNA from 1 species
UCCCCCUCUAUCUCGCCAGAUCCCCCUCCAUCUCGCGUUAUCCCCCUCGCCAGAUCCCCCUCCCCCCGCCGCCGACGACCCCCGCGCCCGCUCCGCCGCCGGAGCACUAGGAGGAGGAGGCCCGCGUCCACCAGGAGAGGAGGCCCCCAAGCUCGACGGCGCCUACUUCUUCUUCCUCCGACCGACCCCAUCUCGCCGUCGCCACCGCUGCUCUGGUCCAUCCCCACGGCAACCGAGGUGUCCACAGCCCUGUGGGCGCAGGUGCUCUACUACGCGGUGGAGGCGCUGCUCUGGUCGGGGCACGAGGGCGUGUACGCCGCCAUCGAGCGGCCGCUCCAGCUCGCGCAAACCGCCGCUGUCCUCGAGAUCCUCCACGGGCUGGUCGGGCUGGUGAGGUCGCCGGUGUCGGCCACACUGCCGCAGAUCGGGUCGCGCCUCUUCGUCACCUGGGGCAUCCUCUGGAACUUCCACGAGACCAGGACACACAUCCUGUUGAGCUCCUUGGUAAUCAGCUGGUCCAUCACCGAGUCAUAGAGAUGCCGUCGUAUGUCAUGUACAAGGGUAAGGUUCCCGAAGUCUACGACGACUGGGAGGAGUGUCGGACACAGGUUCACCGUUUCAGCGGUAACAGUUACAAAGGGUCCACCACUAGGAUGGAGGCGUAAGCUAGAUACACGCGCUAUCUAGCGGGAGAGAGGAGGGAGCAGAGGAGGAACCGGAUGAAGACUAGUUUCAUCGAGAUGAUGCUCAUCGUGAUGACCGCAUCUCUCUUCUAUGUGAUGGUAGUUUAGAUGAUCGAUAUCGACUUGUAAUGUGAAGACAAACUCGCUACUCGCGGUCUCGAGACUUGUAAUGUUCUGACUUUGUUCGCUCUUUUGAAUUCGGAGACUAAUAUGAUGAAUUGUAUUCGGAGACUAAUCUUCUAUUUGUAUUCGAUAAAUUUGAUGUUUAUAUG